UGGGCAGCAACCUUGAGAGAUGACGUAUUACCGGACAAAGAGUACAUUUGCUUACUGCUUGAUAUGAAAGGAGUAGAUCCUCUAGGAUUAACUUCCCAUCUGAAACAGAAACAUUUAUCAAACAUGAAAAGUUUAUAGAAGGUGUAUACAUUUAUGACAUGAGAUAUUUUGAUACAAGCAUACAAUGUGUAAUAAUUAUGUUAAGUGAAAUGGAGUAUGUAUCACCUGAAGAAUUUAUCCUUUCUUUGUUAAAAAGAAUCCAAAUAUAAUAUUUUAGCUAUUUUAAAAUGUUCUAUAAAUUACUGUUGCCUAUACCGGUCCUGCUAUGCUAUCAACUACUAGAUCUUAUUCAUUCUAUGUAAGUAUAUUUUUGUACUCAUUAACCAUCUCCCCUUACCACCCCCCCACUACCAUUCCAAGGAACUGGUAAUCAAUGUUUUACACCCUAUCUCCAUGAGUCUCAUUGUUUUAAUUGUCAGCUUUCAUAAGUAAGUG